UGAGCUGAGAUCGCACCAUUGCACUCCAGCCUGGGCAACAAGAGCAAAAAAACUCCGUCUCAAAGGAAAAAAAAAAAAGCAUCUGCGUUUCAGCUUCCAAGAUUUUCCAAGGUUGUGUUGCUGUUAUUCCCUAUUCUAUUCCCACACUUGUAAGAUUUUGUGUGUGUGUAUGUAUAUACACACAAUCAUACACACACACACACAUACCGGUUGUUAAAAUGCUGAAAUAUCUGGUUAGUAAACAGAAGCUUCCCUGAGCUUCAGGUGCCCCAUAGCCCCAGCCUUUUCCCUGAGACCCCAGCCCCCUACACUUUGUCCUGGGUGGCGAGUGUCUUCCUGCCGUUGGCGAUUUCGAGCUCUUCCUCACGUGGGAAGGGAAGGAGCUGCGUGCAUAUGGGUGAUCCUGAAGGCUUCACCUCCAGUUUAAAAAGGCUCCCUGGAUGAUUUUGACUACCAGCCAGAUUUGCAAGCCAUAGGACAGACAACAGGGCUAGGGUUCAGACUCUUCCACUUCCCACAAGUGGGGUUUUAGAGACGUCACCUCUAGUCUUUGAGUCUCAGCUUCUCCAUCAGUGAAAUGGGGAUGAGGAUCUCUUGCAGAGUUGGGAAGAUUAGAUGCUGUGUGCAGCGACCCUACCCAAGUGCAAGAACGCCCCUCCAGGAAGCUGGUGUCAUAUACAUGAUGGCCACCAGGUGGUGCCAUCGGCAUCGGUGAGGAAGCGCAGCCAGGCUCAGACUUGGGUGGCGUCUGCAUCUCCUACUUAGCUUUUGCUUGUGUUGUUUUUUCUUUUAAAAUGAUGGCUCCCCCAGGAACACAGAAUCAGAAUUUCCAGGGUUGGGACUAAAACGUGUGUUUUAGCAAGUGGUUUUAGUCCACACUAUGAAAAUCUAUGAUCCACUGUUUUUUAUAGAGAUGGGGGUCUUGCUGUGUUGCUGAGGCUGGUCUUGAACGCCUGACCUCAAAUGAUCCUCCCACCUUGGCCUCCCAACUGCUGGGAUUACCGGCAUGAACCACCGUGCCCAGCCUCUUGAGACAGGCUGAUCUAGAGCGCCAGGCAAGGGGGCUCUCUGGAGUCAUGGGUUCUUGCCCUUGGCUCUCCCUGGCUUUGGCACUGGACCUCCAUGAGUGAAUGAGCCCCCAGGAUUGAUAGGAUGGCCCCUGAUGGAGCCCACGUCCUGGCUUUAAUCUUGGCUGUCCCUCCAUGACGCUUCUGUGCACAUCCUCCAGCCCCAUCCAUGCACAGCAUCUGCGGUGAGGAGAGGCCUGGACCCUGCAGCCUGCGGGGAAACGCCACUGGAUAAGUGACUCCUACCGCGGAACACCCCUCAGCAGCAGAAAGCAAAGGAAGGCGUGCCAGGAGGUGCCACAGUCCAGGUCAGAGAUGAAGGGACCUGAGCUCAGGUGGUAGAAGGAAGGGAGGAGAGGAAGACUCAAGAAGCUUUCAGGAUGUGUGGGGCGGGGAGGAGAGGGAUGGGUCUGGAAAAGCCUCACUCCUCCAACUGUGGUUCAGGGCCAGCAGCAGCAGUAGCCAGGCUUCUUACAAAUGCAAAAUCCAGUCUGUAGCCCCAACUACACAGGAGGCUGAAGCAGGAGGAUCACUUGAUCCCAGGAGUUUGUGUUCAGCCUGGGUAACAGUGAGACCCUGUCUCUAAAAGAAAAGAAAGGAAGGGAGGGAAAGAGGGAGGAGAAAGAGAAAAAGAAAGAGGGAGGGAGGGAGGAAGAAGGAAAAGGAAGGAAGAAGGGAGGGAGCAGGGAAGGAAGGAAGGCAGUGAGUGAAGGAAGCAAGGAAGAAAGAAGGGGGGAAGGAAGGAAGGAAGUGAGGGAAGGAAGCAA
rnacentral:lncRNA from 1 species